rnacentral:rRNA from 1 species
GACGGAGGGUGCUAGCGUUGUUCGGAAUGACUGGGCGUAAAGGGCGCGUAGGCGGCUCGUGAAGUCGGGUGUGAAAGCCCGGGGCUCAACCCCGGAACGGCAUCCGAUACUGGCGGGCUUGAGACCGGGAGAGGAGGGUGGAAUACCCAGUGUAGAGGUGAAAUUCGUAGAUAUUGGGUGGAACACCGGUGGCGAAAGCGGGCUCUCUGGCCCGGAUCUGACGCUGAGGCGCGAAAGCGUGGGGAGCAAACAGG